AAAAAAGAUUAACUCGCAGACCUGACCAUGCGGUCGUAAAGAUUUAGAGUACUAUUAUCGCAUUCCGACUCACAAAUCAACAAAUUAAAUUGUUAGAUUUUUUUCUUUCGUGCAAGUUUACUACUCCGAGCACUGAGUUAAGGUUUAUAACCGUAACCUCGUUGUUUGAAUUUUUUAAAUGCAACAUAAAAAAAUUUUUGGCAAUUUACAGGUCUAUCCAUCUGCAGGGCCUGAAUUUGGCGGAACUAUGGUUAACAUUAAUGGAACUAAUAUUGGAAACAGAGGAGAUAAUAUUUCAGUUACCAUAAAUGGUGUUAAGUGCGAAAAUGUAACAGUUAUCAAACCAUCUACUGU
rnacentral:lncRNA from 1 species